UAGAGCCAUACUAUUUCACUGGCCCACUCAUGGCAGGGACUCAACCAUUCUCACCUGACUUCAUUCAUUCCCAAUCAUGGUUCAAACACACCUGACUUCACUCACUACCAAUUAUGGCUUAGUCUAUAAGUACCACCUACUUCCUUUGUUCUGGCUGUCAGCAACAUGAGACAGCGGUGUGGGGCAGCAUGUGGGGGCGCGCUGUCCUCACAAUUCAGGCACAAAUCCUACGGUCGUGCGUAAAUAAAAAAAACCACACAAAACCGUCAAGCCUCAUCAUCUGCCUUUGCCCUGAAUAUGUGCAGAGUGUAAAUAAAUGGCUUAAACGGAAA